rnacentral:rRNA from 1 species
UACGAAGGGGGCUAGCGUUGCUCGGAAUCACUGGGCGUAAAGCGCACGUAGGCGGCUUUUUAAGUCAGGGGUGAAAUCCUGGAGCUCAACUCCAGAACUGCCUUUGAUACUGAGAAGCUUGAGUCCGGGAGAGGUGAGUGGAACUGCGAGUGUAGAGGUGAAAUUCGUAGAUAUCGGGUAGAACACCAGUGGCGAAGGCGACGAUCUGGACGGACACUGACGCUGAGACGCGAAAGCGUGGGGAGCAAACAGG